UACGUAGGGUGCAAGCGUUACUCGGAAUUACUGGGCGUAAAGCGUGCGCAGGCGGUUGUGCAAGACAGAUGUGAAAUCCCCGGGCUUAACCUGGGAACUGCAUUUGUGACUGCACGGCUAGAGUGUGUCAGAGGGGGGUAGAAUUCCACGUGUAGCAGUGAAAUGCGUAGAUAUGUGGAGGAAUACCGAUGGCGAAGGCAGCCCCCUGGGAUAACACUGACGCUCAUGCACGAAAGCGUGGGGAGCAAACAGG
rnacentral:rRNA from 1 species